UAAAUAUACACAUAAAUAUUCGCUACCAGUUUCAGUUGUUGCCUGGGGAUGAGCAAAAACCAAAUUUAAUAAGACAAUAACCAUAGCCCACUCCCGCUUCCAAGAAUUCUGAGCAUAAAUCGUCUUGUUUGUUCUACCUCGGUAAUUAUUGCCCUUUUCUUCUGUUUUUUUUAUCUGGGGAUCAAAUUAUUUCGUACUUUUUUGUACUAAAUUUGUUUUUUUUUCCCGUGCGGGAAAAAGAGGGUGUAAUAUUAAUUUUUUCCGAUCACAAUAUUGAAGUCAUUUAUAAAUUUUAUAUUAGAAAAAUGAAAAUAAAAAACAUUAGAAAACAAAUCUAGCACAUUGUAACCCAUAAAGAAAUAUAAUAAUAAUAAUAAAAAAAGCAACAAAAAAAAAGGAAUAAAAAAAAAAAAAAAAAGCUAUAGUGGAUAAAGAUUGGCUUGUUGCUGACAUGUGGAAAGAUUUUGCAUUUUUCCAUUAUCUAUAAAAAAUAAAUAUACACAUAAAUAUUAGCUACCAGUUUCAGUUGUUGCCUGGGGAUGAGCAAAAACCAAAUUCAAUGAGACAAUAACCAUAGCCCACUGCCGCUUCCAAGAAUUCUGAGCAUAAAUCGUCUCGUUUGUUCUACCUCGGUAAUUAUUGCCCUUUUCUUCUGUUUUUUUUAUCUGGGGAUCAAAUUAUUUCGUACUUUUUUGUACUAAAUUUGUUUUUUUUUCCCGUGCGGGAAAAAGAGGUGAACAGUAGAUGGCGAGUCAAUCUGAUUCUCCGCCAAAUCC
rnacentral:lncRNA from 1 species